ACGGCCAUACCAUGCUGAAUAUACCGGUUCUCGUUAGAUCACCGAAGUCAAACAUCAUUGGGCGCGGUCAGUACUUGGGUGGGUGACCACCUGGGAACACCGCGUGCCGUU
rnacentral:rRNA from 1 species